rnacentral:lncRNA from 1 species
CAGGAGCAUCCCAGAUGCAGAGUCCAGAACUGGGGGGGAUGUGGUACUGAGGGAGCCCAGAGCGGAUGGAAUAACAAGGAAGGAAUUUGCCUUCCUGCUUGAAGCAUCUAACGAAUCUGACAAAGUAUAUUAAAGAAAGUGUCUCAAGACACUGGACAUCACUUAAAGGAAGACUCAACAGGAUGAAAUUGUUUCCAAGUCACUUAACUGCAUCCUAGAAUGAACUCAAGUAUAUUUAUAGGAAUACAAUAAUGUACAGCCCUCAACAAGAGAAAUUUCACGAAGCUUGGCACACAUUCAAGAAUAACGAGGCAUGCAAAGAAGUAGGACAAAUGCAACCAUAAUACAGAGAAAAGCCAAUCAAACAGACCCAGUAAUGACACUGAUGAUGGAGUUAGUAGACAAGGCCAUUAAAACAGUCAUUAUAACUGCGUUCCAUAUGUUUGAGAAACUUGAACAUGAUAAGUAGAGACAUGGAA